CAAUAGCGUAUAUUUAAGUUGCUGCAGUUAAAAAGCUCGUAGUUGGAUUUCGGGUGGGAAUGGCCGGUCCGCCGUUUCGGUGUGCACUUGCUACGCCCACCUUGCUGCCGGGGACGUGCUCUUGAGUUCACGCUCGGGACACGGAGUCGGCGAGGUUACUUUGAGUAAAUUAGAGUGUUCAAAGCAAGCCUACGCUCUGAAUAUAUUAGCAUGGAAUAACACGAUAGGACUCUGGCUUAUCUUGUUGGUCUGUGAGACCAGAGUAAUGAUUAAGAGGGACAGUCGGGGACAUUCGUAUUUCAUUGUCGGAGGUGAAAUUCUUGGAUUUAUGAAAGACGAACUUCUGCGAAAGCAUUUGUCAAGGAUGUUUUCAUUAA
rnacentral:rRNA from 1 species